UUUUUUCCUUACAAUAAUUUUAUUCCAAUUAUUUCCAGGACAUGGUCUAGGACCAUGAUGACAGUUUGGAAGGUGAUUUGAACAUGUUUGAUUUCUCCCAAGUGAAGUAAAUUUUACAAUAUUGGCAGGCUUCAAGAAAAGAUUUUUACCCUUAUACCUUACUCAGAUCUUCUCUGUGACCUAUGAAGAAUAUUGUUGGCACUCAAAGACUACUGAUCUGUACACAAUUAGCCUGUGGCCUCAUUAAUUUCUCAUAAAACAAUAGAAUAUUUACAAGAGGAAGUGCUUUCUUACCAAAAGAAAAUGAAGGAGGAAGUAUCUGAAAUAAAUGUAUGGAAACAAACUGAAUUUGGCUUUUCGAAGACAUCUAUGUUGUGGAGAUCCUGACAUCAUAGGAGAGAACAUGGGAACUAGACAGAUGAGAGAGAUGGACAAAGAGACAGACAGAUACAGACAUGCAUAGGUAGAUAUUUAUAUUUCUAAAAAUCCAUACAUGAAUAAUUAGAUUUUUAAAUACCGUUAAACACAGAUUCCUUUGUUAUUGAAACACU
rnacentral:lncRNA from 1 species